rnacentral:rRNA from 1 species
AAGCGCUUGCAAUCAGACUUGCAUGUAGUUGAUCAUCCGAUGUUCUCACCGGUGCACUCAAUUGCAUUCAGGCCAGUAUCGGUUCUGGUGGUUGGAUAAAGACCUUGAGAAUGUAGCUUCUUUCGGGGAGUGUUA